CCUACGGGUGGCAGCAGUGAGGAAUAUUGGUCAAUGGCCGAGAGGCUGAACCAGCCAAGUCGCGUGAGGGAAGAAUGUCCUAUGGAUUGUAAACCUCUUUUGUCAGGGAGCAAAGUCACCCACGUGUGGAUGUCGGAGAGUACCUGAAGAAAAAGCAUCGGCUAAUUCCGUGCCAGCAGCCGCGGUAAUACGGAGGAUGCGAGCGUUAUCCGGAUUUAUUGGGUUUAAAGGGUGCGUAGGGGGGUUAUCAAGUCAGCGGUAAAAUCGUGGUUCUCAACUCCGUCCAGCCGUUGAAACUGAUGGUCUUGAGUAGGCGAGAGGUAUGCGGAAUGCGUGGUGUAGCGGUGAAAUGCAUAGAUAUCACGAGGAACUCCGAUUGCGAAGGCAGCAUGCCGGCGCCCGACUGACGCUGAGGCACGAAAGCGUGGGUAUCGAACAGGAUUAGAUACCCUUGUAGUC
rnacentral:rRNA from 1 species